GACGAACGCUGGCGGCGUGCUUAACACAUGCAAGUCGAACGGAAAGGCCCUGCUUUUGUGGGGUGCUCGCGUGGCGAACGGGUGAGUAACAUGUGAGUAACCUGCCCUUGACUUUGGGAUAACUUCAGGAAACUGGGGCUAAUACCGGCUAGGAGCUCCUGAUGCAUGGUGGGGGUUGGAAAGUUUCGGCGGAUGGGGAUGGACGCGCGGCUUAUUAGCUUGUUGGUGGGGUAGUGGCUUACCAAGGCUUUGACGGGUAGCCGGCCUGAGAGGGUGACCGGCCACAUUGGGACUGAGAGACGGCCCAGACUCCUACGGGAGGCAGAAGGGGGGAAUAUUGCACAAUGGGCGGAAGCCUGAGGCAGCAACGCCGCGUGCGGGAUGACGGCCUUCGUGUUGUAAACCGCUUUCACCUGUGACGAAGCGUGAGUGACGGUAAUAGGUAAAGAAGCACCGGCUAACUACGUG
rnacentral:rRNA from 1 species